GAUGAUCCGUGAAACAACUAUCC
rnacentral:siRNA from 1 species